rnacentral:lncRNA from 1 species
UCAGUGAGGGGGCACCUGUGGGACAGAGGGGACAAUGUCCAGUGAGGGGUCACUUGGGGGGACAGAGGUCACAGUGGUCAGUGGGGACAGGAGGGGUCAGGACAGGAGGGACAAAGUUUGGGAGCAAGAAAGGAAAGUUUGGGCAAACUUUGGCAGGAAAAGUUUUGGGGAAGAAAGGAAAAUUUAGGGAAAGGAAGAGAAAUUUGGGGGGAAGAGGAAAAAUUUGGGGAAGGGAAAAGUUCAGGAGAGGAAACUCCUGAGAAAAAGAAGGAGAAUUCCUGAAAAAGGAAGGAAAACUGGAAAGGCCAAGCCAUGCCCAGCUUCACUUUUGAUUUUGAACCCCAAAAUCCCAAAACCGCCCCAAAAUUCCCCAAAUCCUGCAAAUUCCAGGUGCUCACCAUGCCGGGCACAGGGCUGGGGUCCCUCUGGAUUUGGGGGGUCCCCCUUGUCCCCAAUUCCUGCCAUUUCCGUGCUGGCCCCACCUGGACAAGACGGAGCAGUUUUGGGGUUAAAAAGGACAAAUUUGGGGUCACUGAGGUGAAACCCCCCCAAAAAUCCCCCAAACCCACCUGGGGGCAGCGGGGGGAGCUCGAAGCUCAUCUCUUCCUCCUCCUCCUCCUCCUCUUCCUCCUCCACGGCCCUCAGGGGGUCCCGCUCCUCAAUGCCACAAAAUUCCCAAUUCCUCUUUUCCUCCAAAAUUCCACUUUGGGGCUUCCCCCUCUCCUUCUUCUCCCGGGGACCCCCAGCCCGGCGGGGACCCCUGUUCUCCUUCUUCUCCAGAGGUUUUUUGGCUUUUCCCUUCUCCUUCUUUUCCACAUUUUCCGUUUUGGAGUUUCCCCUUUUUCCCGCAUUUUCCAUUUGGGGAUUUUCCAUUUUUUCCGUUUUGGGAUUUUCCAUUUUUUCCACAUUUUCCAUUUUUUCCACAUUUUCCAUUUUGGGAUCUCCUGUUUUUUCCAUUUUGGGAUUUCCCCUUUUCCCCACGUUUUCCAUGUUAGGAUUUCCCGUUUUUUCCACAUUUUCCAUGUUAGGAUUUCCUGUUUUUUCCACAUUUUCCACUCUGGAGUUUCCCCUCCUUUCCCUCUUUUCCAGAGCUGUUUGGGGAAUGUAAUUUUCCUUCUUUUCCACAUUUUCCUCGUGCUUGAUUCCCCUUUUUUCCCUCUUUUUGGGGGUCCCCAGCUCCUUUCGGGGCCGCCCCCGCCGGGUCCGAGCCCCAAUUCCUGGAGAAUUCCUGGGGGAUUUUUGGGGCUGAAUCCUCCUCUUGGCACAGGAACUUUUCUGGGUGGUUUUGGGGGGAUCUGGGGGAUUUUGGGGCUCCUCGGGGUCGCUGUCACUGAAUGUCACCUGAAAAAGGGAGGGGACAAAAGGGUUCAGCCCAAAAUUUUCAUCCCAAAAUUUUUCCUCAACUUCCAAAGUUUUCCACAUGAAGUU